UCUUAAUAAAACUUUGAAAAAUUAACGUGAUAUUAUAAAAAAUAAACUCAAAUUUUGCUGACGUUUGUGAAAUUUUUACUUGUCAGCCGCGCAUCGGUACCACGUUUUUCUUCAAUAAUCUGAAAUUUUAAAUCCGCCAAUAGGACUUCUUUUUCCCGUAAAACAUAAGGCCAUCUAUCCGCAUCAACAGUAAAACCUAUUUCAGUGAGGGUUCGAUUCGUAAAACCUGUUAUUCUGUGGAUUUGGCUAUAUCAGUUCGGGAUGCCUGGUUGUAUCCCUUAUUCCCUUAAAAUCAACAAAAAUGGCGAUUCAAGUAAAAAAAAAUUCAUAGUGUACGGUCAUCAGGGCACUCAGAAGUCAGAGGAAUCGUUUGGUGUAAGUUUCAGCUUGAAAAUCCAGAAGUAGUUAAAGUAAAAAAUUACCAAGUUA